GGAAGCAGACACAGUUUUGGCGAACCCCACAAUAAUCACUCCUCUGUAAUCUCUGCAUAUCCCAGCCACCGAUCCCUCUGUUUUCCCUUCGAUCCAAGACCCAUCGACGUUGAAUUUCAGAAUUCCAGGUUCUGGGGGCGUCCGGCGUUCUGUCUUAGCUUUGGCCGUCCAACUCCUCGAUUCAGGUAAGUUUUGCUCCCGAUAGUUCCUGUUUAGAAAAACAGCUUCUUCCACAAUUGUUCCGGAGCUUGGACUAAUUUGAUUGAAUACCCAUGCGUUCCUUGCCUUCCAAAUUUGCCAGAGGACUCCUGCAAGCAUUUCCUGACCUGAUUGUGCUGAGCUUUUGUCACAGAGGGUGAAGAUGUGCUCCAUCGUCUCGGGAUGUUUUCGGCAAAUUGGACAAAGUGGGUCAGUUCCUCCCAAUGGUGAUGGUAGAACUGGCCAUUCAUCCCGUCUGGUCCUGGGGCUUUUGUUGCUCCUAGCUGAAACACUGCUUGUUUGACCUCUUCUACGGUAACCGCUGCCAUCAAUGCCUCAUUCAUCUCAUGUUGGCUUGGAAAAGAGCAUUGGUCUAGAAUUGGGCUGAAGUUCCUGGUACCCACUGUUUCGAACAAGGAUUCAU